rnacentral:rRNA from 1 species
GGUUUUUUGUGUUUAAAGUAUGAUAAAUCGGGCCUGCUCUGUGUUUAGUAUUAACGGCCGCGGUAAUUUGACUGUGCAAAGGUAGCAUAAUCAUUAGUUAUUUAAUUGGUAUCUGGGAUGAAUGGUUUGACGGGGAGUAUUUUUAUUUUUUUAUUUUAUUGAAUUUUAAUUUAUCGUGAGGAUGCGAUAUUUAUUCUGUUUGACGAGAAGACCCCGUAAAGCUUAAUUGCGUAUAUAUGUUUUAAUAUUUAUUUGGUUUCGUUGGGGCAAGUGUUUGUGAAUUAUUAAUAAUUGUUUGUUUUGUAUUUUUUUUUAAUCGGGGGGGGAUCCUAUAUAUUUGGAAAUUUAGAGAAGUUACUUUGGGGAUAACAGCGUAAUUUUAUUGGAGAGUUCUUAUCGAUGAUAUAAGUUUGCGAC